GGUUUUUUGAUUAUAAUUUAAGAUUUAAUCUGCUCAAUGAUUUGUUAAAUUGCUGCAGUAUUUUGACUGUACAAAGGUAGCAUAAUAAUUAGUUUCUUGAUUAGAAACUGGAAUGAAUGAUUGGACGAAAAAAUUUCUGUCUCUUUAUUAUUUUUAUUGAAUUUUACUUUUAAGUUAAAAGGCUUAAAUUUUUUUAAAAGACGAGAAGACCCCAUAGAGUUUAAUUUUUUAGUUAAUUUAUAUAUUUUGGUAUAAAAUUAUUUAAAUUGAUUAAAAAAUUUUGUUGGGGUGACUGAAAGAUUUAAUUAAUUCUUUUAAUUACAAUCAUAUAUUUAUGAACAUAAAAUCUAUAUUUUUAAAUUUAAAAUAAAUUACCUUGGGGAUAACAGCGUAAUUUUUGCUUUAGAGUUCUUAUUGAAAGAAGAGAUUGCGACCUCGAUGUUGGAUUAAAAUUUAUUUUAGGUGUAGAAGCUUGAUAUAUUAAGUCUGUUCGACUUUUAAAAU
rnacentral:rRNA from 1 species